rnacentral:rRNA from 1 species
AACGAACGCUGGCGGCAUGCCUAACACAUGCAAGUCGAACGAGACCUUCGGGUCUAGUGGCGCACGGGUGCGUAACGCGUGGGAACCUGCCCUUAGGUUCGGAAUAACUCCCCGAAAGGGGUGCUAAUACCGGAUAAUGUCUUCGGACCAAAGAUUUAUCGCCUUUGGUGGGGCCCGCGUUGGAUUAGCUAGUUGGUAUGGUAAAAGCCUACUAAGGCGAUGAUUCAUAGCUGGUCUGAGAGGAUGGUCAGCCACACUGAGAUGGGGACACGGCCCAGACUCUUACGGGAAGCAGCAGAGGGGAAUAUUGGACAAUGGGCGGAGGCCUGAUCCAGCUAUGCCGCGUAAGUGAUGAAGGCCGUAGAGUUGUAAAGCGCUUUUACCCGGGAUGAUAAUGACAGUACCGGGAGAAUAAGCACCGGCUAACUCCGUG